UGAGGUGUCGCCAAGUGGUAAAGGCAUCAGACUUUGACUCUGACACACGCAGGUUCAAAUCCUGCCACCUCAG
rnacentral:tRNA from 1 species